rnacentral:rRNA from 1 species
AGUGAACGCUGGCGGUAGGCCUAACACAUGCAAGUCGAACGGCAGCACAGUAAGAGCUUGCUCUUACGGGUGGCGAGUGGCGGACGGGUGAGGAAUACAUCGGAAUCUACUUUUUCGUGGGGGAUAACGUAGGGAAACUUACGCUAAUACCGCAUACGACCUACGGGUGAAAGCAGGGGAUCUUCGGACCUUGCGCGAUUGAAUGAGCCGAUGUCGGAUUAGCUAGUUGGCGGGGUAAAGGCCCACGAAGGCGACGAUCCGUAGCUGGUCUGGGAGGAUGAUCAGCCACACUGGAACUGAGACACGGUCCAGACUCCUACGGGAGGCAGCAGUGGGGAAUAUUGGACAAUGGGCGCAAGCCUGAUCCAGCCAUACCGCGUGGGUGAAGAAGGCCUUCGGGUUGUAAAGCCCUUUUGUUGGGAAAGAAAAGCAGCAGGUUAAUACCCCGCUGUUCUGACGGUACCCAAAGAAUAAGCACCGGCUAACUUCGUG